rnacentral:rRNA from 1 species
AUUGAACGCUAGCGGCAUGCCUUACACAUGCAAGUCGAACGGCAGCACGAACUUCGGUUUGGUGGCGAGUGGCGAACGGGUGAGUAAAGCAUCGGAACGUGCCUAGUAGUGGGGGAUAACUAUUCGAAAGAGUGGCUAAUACCGCAUACGAUCUAAGGAUGAAAGUGGGGGAUCUUCGGACCUCAUGCUAUUAGAGCGGCCGAUGUCAGAUUAGCUAGUUGGUGAGGUAAAAGCUCACCAAGGCGACGAUCUGUAGCUGGUCUGAGAGGACGACCAGCCACACUGGGACUGAGACACGGCCCAGACUCCUACGGGAGGCAGCAGUGGGGAAUUUUGGACAAUGGGCGAAAGCCUGAUCCAGCAAUGCCGCGUGUGUGAAGAAGGCCUUCGGGUUGUAAAGCACUUUUGUUCGGGAAGAAAAGGUUUGUGUUAAUACCAUAAGCUGAUGACGGUACCGAAAGAAUAAGCACCGGCUAACUACGUGCCAGCAGCCGCAGUAA